GAUGUUCAUUAUUUAGAAGCAAAGAGUUGUGUAGGAUGCUUUUUCCCCAUCAUCUACUGACUGCUGUUUCCCUCCAUAAUGAACAAGGGAGAAAGGCAGAUCUAUCUACUGGAAUUAAAUGAAGCUGUAGAGAAGAUUUUACUAUCUAUUCCCCAAAUGCUAUAUCAUACAAAGGCCCAAUCCUAGAUAGAAAGCAUUUUUUUUUAUGUAUUCUAGGACAGUGUAGAUUUUGUUUUUAUCUUUCACUUUAGGCAUUUGUGCUGAUUUUGAGUAUGGAAAAUGGUUGAAUACUUUUGGAAUACCAUUCAACACUAGUGGAUCUUUUUGUGCUAAUGGAAGCUUGGUCAUGGAAAUGAGAGAAGGUAGCCUUUUGCCAGUCUAAGAUAUUUUAAAUAAGAAAUUUUUCAUACGUGUAUUUCUUGGACAGGCUUAUCAUCAUGAUAGUCAACUUUAUUGACUUCAUUUUGUAAAGAUUCAGACUGGAAGAUAAUAAUUUAACCAAGAUAAAAAGCAGUAAGUGGUUAUUUAUCUACAACAGCUAUUACUUUUGCACGAGGACAUGAUUUUCCACUGAGUCCAAGCCUGUUGCAGAGAACUUUCUGAUUUUUUUCCCCACCAAAUGGAAAGCUUUGCUUAUCACUGUUACAUAGAUAGUAAGCUGAAGGAGACUUCCAUCUAGUGAUGCUGUCAUCCAAUCACCAGGCUUCAUGGUUCACCAUUGCAGGUGGUUAGAAAGAGCAGGCAAG